GUUGAACGCUGGCGGAAUGCUUUACACAUGCAAGUCGAACGGCAGCACGGACUUCGGUCUGGUGGCGAGUGGCGAACGGGUGAGUAAUGUAUCGGAACGUGCCCAGUCGUGGGGGAUAACGUAGUGAAAAUUACGCUAAUGCCGCAUACGAUCUAUGGAUGAAAGCGGGGGAUCGCAAGACCCCGCGCGAUUGGAGCGGCCGAUAUCAGAUUAGGUAGUUGGUGGGGUAAAGGCCCACCAAGACAACGAUCUGUAGCUGGUCUGAGAGGACGACCAGCCACACUGGAACUGAGACACGGUCCAGACUCCUACGGGAGGCAGCAGUGGGGAAUUUUGGACAAUGGGCGAAAGCCUGAUCCAGCCAUUCCGCGUGCAGGAUGAAGGCCCUCGGGUUGUAAACUGCUUUUGUACAGAACGAAAAGGUUUCUACUAAUACUAGGAGCUCAUGACGGUACUGUAAGAAUAAGCACCGGCUAACUACGUGCCAGCAGCCGCGGUAA
rnacentral:rRNA from 1 species